GACGAACGCUGGCGGCGUGCCUAAUACAUGCAAGUAGAACGCUGAAGGAGGAGCUCGCUUCUCUGGAUGAGUUGCGAACGGGUGAGUAACGCGUAGGUAACCUGCCUGGUGGCGGGGGAUAACUAUUGGAAACGAUAGCUAAUACCGCAUAAGAGUAGAUGUUGCAUGACAUUUACUUAAAAGGUGCAAUUGCAUCACUACCAGAUGGACCUGCGUUGUAUUAGCUAGUUGGUGAGGUAACGGCUCACCAAGGCAACGAUACAUAGCCGACCUGAGAGGGUGAUCGGCCACACUGGGACUGAGACACGGCCCAGACUCCUACGGGAGGCAGCAGUAGGGAAUCUUCGGCAAUGGACGGAAGUCUGACCGAGCAACGCCGCGUGAGUGAAGAAGGUUUUCGGAUCGUAAAGCUCUGUUGUAAGAGAAGAACGAGUGUGAGAGUGGAAAGUUCACACUGUGACGGUAUCUUACCAGAAAGGGACGGCUAACUACGUG
rnacentral:rRNA from 1 species